rnacentral:rRNA from 1 species
GAGUUUGAUCCUGGCUCAGAUUGAACGCUGGCGGCAGGCCUAACACAUGCAAGUCGAGCGGUAGAGAGGAGCUUGCUUCUCUUGAGAGCGGCGGACGGGUGAGUAAUGCCUAGGAAUCUGCCUAGUGGUGGGGGAUAACGUUCGGAAACGGACGCUAAUACCGCAUACGUCCUACGGGAGAAAGCGGGGGAUCUUCGGACCUCGCGCCAUUAGAUGAGCCUAGGUCGGAUUAGCUAGUUGGUGAGGUAAUGGCUCACCAAGGCGACGAUCCGUAACUGGUCUGAGAGGAUGAUCAGUCACACUGGAACUGAGACACGGUCCAGACUCCUACGGGAGGCAGCAGUGGGGAAUAUUGGACAAUGGGCGAAAGCCUGAUCCAGCCAUGCCGCGUGUGUGAAGAAGGUCUUCGGAUUGUAAAGCACUUUAAGUUGGGAGGAAGGGUCGUAACCUAAUACGUUACGGCUUUGACGUUACCGACAGAAUAAGCACCGGCUAACUUCGUGCCAGCAGCCGCGGUAAUACGAAGGGUGCAAGCGUUAAUCGGAAUUACUGGGCGUAAAGCGCGCGUAGGUGGUUCAGCAAGUUGGAUGUGAAAGCCCUGGGCUCAACCUGGGAACUGCAUCCAAAACUACUGAGCUAGAGUACGGUAGAGGGUAGUGGAAUUUCCUGUGUAGCGGUGAAAUGCGUAGAUAUAGGAAGGAACACCAGUGGCGAAGGCGACUACCUGGACUGAUACUGACACUGAGGUGCGAAAGCGUGNGGAGCAAACAGGAUUAGAUACCCUGGUAGUCCACGCCGUAAACGAUGUCGACUAGCCGUUGGGAUCCUUGAGAUCUUAGUGGCGCAGCUAACGCAUUAAGU